CUCUCAUAAACACACGCGCGCGGCACACCCUCCUCCCUCGAUCCCCUUCUUUCCCGAGAAACCCUAGGUAAAGCACUGCCGCCUCCCUCUUCCUCCCUCUCCCCGAUCCAGAUCCCUCCUCCCAUCCACAACCCCUCCUGUCCCAGUGACCCCCACAGCAGAUCGAGAGAGCCUCCCAACCUCACCGUUGAUAGAUGCACCGCCGCCAAGCAGCCACGGCCGGAUGGCUCGCCGGUGUGUGCAUUCUUCUAUGUGCGCCGCUUUGUCGUUCCCCACCCUAGCAAUCGAUCCAAGCUGCCGCUGCUUCACCGGGCUACUCAGUCUUUCCUGCGACCACGAGUGACCACCCAAGUCCACUCUCGAUCCCCAAAGCCAAAGGCAGAGCCAGCCGCCGCUGGCACCCGUUGUCUUCCCCAGCCCCGGCCUUCACUCCAUCGCUGACGCCCUCUCCCCUCCUCUCCCUCUCCGUAGAUCCUCUCGAGCAACAUUGCCCACGGGCAGAUCCGCUCCCUCCUCGCGCCGGAAACCCUAGCUAUCGGGGACCGACCGCGGACGCACGACUCGGGCUCGAACAACAGUGGUGUCAUGGAGCAGAGCUUGCUCUGUCCGGGAUGCCAUGGAUCUUGUGCGCGUGAAGCUCUUUCUUCCUCCAGCAGAAAAACGUACAAGCAGCAUCAAGGACGGACCCGGCGGAAAACCCAUGGUGCCAUCUGCAGGACAAAUCGGCGUGCUAAUCUGUCGAGCCCUUCUGAUUUCAUGUUCGCUAUCUUAUGAGAACCUGGUGUGCUAUAUGGGGAAGCAAAGCAGCAGCCCACAACUCCGACUUGCGACUCUAGAUGAAGGCACCACGACACACCAUGCUACUCCCUUGGAAGGCCGGCUGAGCGACGCGGCGGCGAAGGCAGUGAACGAGCUGCUGUCGUCGGGCGCCGCCGGCAAACUGAGUAGCCUCUGCUCCUGGGCCGACAAGGUCAGGUUUAGGUACUACUAGUCGGCGCCGCUCCACUUCAUCGACGUCACCGACAACGUCUGCAGCUACUACUACGACAGGGACUGCAAGGACGAGAAGGGCGUCAAGGGCCGCUGCGUCACCGGCGCCAUCAACAACUACACCUCCCAGCUCCUUACCUAGGGAUCAUCAUCGCCAUCUUAUAAAUCUUUCGGCCAACAUAACCUGACAGAAGCGCUCUUGUUCAUAUCAAACUUCAUGGGCGACUUCCACAAAGCCACUGCAUCUGGGGUCCUCCUCUGAAAAAGAAAGGAACACCAUCAACGUCCACUGGUACAGAAGGAAAUCUGUACUCCACCAUAGGCUAGCCUUCAUUCAUGUUUUGUCGUGAGGUCCCGGAUGUUCAAGUCGGAAGAAGCAUAGAGUUCUAGCUCAUUGGAGCUAGUUAAACUAUGAUAGCUAGCUCACGAUUUGUUCAAUGAUUUUUCUUCCGUUAAUAUUUAUCCUGUAAUCUAUCGCCUUGAACCACACUAACAUUUGCUCCAUGAUUCCCUAACUGCUCAGCAUGUUGAUCUGUUUUGAACAUCUGAAUUUUUUAUGUGUGUAGGGGGACUUAUCAUGUGGCACGCCAAGCAACAGCAAGGGGAGGGGGUCUCUGAAAUGUCGCCGCUGUCGAUCAUUGCUAGUGUCAUGGAUUGAUGAUGGAUGGUUGCUGUUAGUUUAGCUCCUUGGUAGUACCUCCUUGUCUUUCAGGCGGCGGCUGCUGCUGGUGGUAGAAAUGGUAGCUACAGUCCUAUGUACUUCUUGUGCUUGGAUUGCCCUUGGUUGAAUGUACCUACUAUUGUACCCGUGGCUGUUUAAGGAAUCCUUUUGUGUUGAAAGAAAUAAAAUUGUCACCCGUGGCUGUUUAAGAUAAAU
rnacentral:rRNA from 1 species